rnacentral:rRNA from 1 species
GUGGGGAAUCUUCCGCAAUGGACGAAAGUCUGACGGAGCAACGCCGCGUGAACGAUGACGGCCUUCGGGUUGUAAAGUUCUGUUAUACGGGACGAAUGGUACGACGGUCAAUACCCGUCGUAAGUGACGGUACCGUAAGAGAAAGCCACGGCUAACUACGUGCCAGCAGCCGCGGUAAUACGUAGGUGGCAAGUGUUGCCCGGAAUUAUUGGGCGUAAAGGGCGCGCAGGCGGCGUCGUAAGUCGGUCUUAAAAGUGCGGGGCUUAACCACGUGAGGGGACCGAAACUGCGAUGCUAGAGUAUCGGAGAGGAAAGCGGAAUUCCUAGUGUAGCGGUGAAAUGCGUAGAUAUUAGGAGGAACACCAGUGGCGAAAGCGGCUUUCUGGACGACAACUGACGCUGAGGCGCGAAAGCCAGGGGAGCAAACGGGAUUAGAAACCCUGGUAGUCC